ACCAUCAUGUGAGUGUGAGAUUGCUCUGGAUUCUGGUUAUGUGGCCUGCAGCACCUAUAAGAACAAGCUCAUACAGUGUGACUGCAUUCCAGCUUCUUAGACUCUACGCAAGUGGACACAGUAUCAGUGUUUGACCGCUCUUACAGACACCGACUUCUGUCAACUCACUGCUACUGAUCAGGCACCUCACUCCAGGAAGACAGAGGGCUGCAAGCCUGUCAUCGUUUCCAGUGUGGCUUUGUAUUCUUGGGGUAGCAUCAGAUUUUUCCCACAAAUAUUCAAAGUGAUCGGAUGUGGUGGAGCUUUGUUAACUGUGUGGAAAACAUCUGUUUGUGAUGAUAUUUACAAUGAGGCUUUAAGGUGACAGUUUCCAUUUAAUUUCAAUCCUUUUACUAAGCAAAAACAUGUUUGCAAUUAACAUAUUUUUUUCAGUUUUGUCUUUUGGAUUUAACAUUCCUCUGUGACAGCAAAUACUAAACUGGUCCAAGUAACCAGCAUAUCAUUGGUCAAAGGCAAAAAGGACCACAUGUCACGCUAGCAAUAAAUUUUUGACUGUGUUUGUGUCACCAGAUUGAACAAACAAUAUCAGACAUAUGAAACUGAACUCUGGAUUAAUGUGCAGAUGUUUUUUGUGGUUUUUUUAUUGUUGAAUAAUUAUUUUGUAGGACAAACCCAAUCUAUUUACCCAAACAAUGUAACUUGUUUGGGUAAAUAGUGGAUUAAUAUAUCAAAGUCUAAGUAUAGCAAGCUGAAUUCAUACAAACACACAGCUCUAAAUCUUGAAUUGUAGAAUGCACAAUAAUGAUCAUUUGAUUAUUAUGGACAUUUAAAUCAGAAUCUAUUGAACCAGACACAUAUUCUUUAUAGAGAUUACACAAUCUCAAAAAAAAAGAAAGUGUUUAAGAGGAUAAGUAAAGAAAGCUCAAAGUGUGUUUGUAUGAAUAUUGUCUUAGUAUGGGGUGUCAGUAAGUACAUGAGUAUAGAAUAGGUGUAACAGUGGUUUUCCACAUCUGUGCUUAGACUGCUCUAAUAUAUAUAGAUAAUGGGUGAGACAUAUAGUUUGACCUAUUAAGUCUGUUUGAAAAGUUCAUGAAGGUCUCAUCCAGUGCUAUGUGUUUCUGUUUAUCAUUUUAUGAGGUCACACAGCUGACAUGAGUCAGAGUAGAACCAUAAUAUUCAUGUUAAUGAGUCUACUGUUUACAGCUACUUCAUGAUGACUUUCAUCCUGGUCACAGUACUAUGUGAAAAGCUGUAAGAGGUAAAGUUAACCCAAAUAAUAGCUGAUUAUAAGUCACUCUCUAACAUUGAUUAUUUUUCAAUAUAAUUUAUUCCACAACAAUGUUCUUUAUUUUAUCCCUGUUUCUUCAAAUAUGCACAUCAAUUGUUCAGCUGUGUGACUCUCCAUACCUGAAAUAUAUCACAAUGUGAACUUCAUUUCAACAGUAUUCCUUAGUUUGGUACCAUAUUUAUCAUCAAAUUAGGAAACUGUAAACUAAUUGAAAAAAGAAGCUUUUGAACAUUUUAAUGUGUAAAAAUAUAUAUAUGUAUAAUUUUUUAAAUUAAUAGAACAUAAACAUGGCAAACAAAGAUAUAUUCACAAUUCUAACGGAUGUUUCAAUUGCUUGUAUAGAUUUUAGAUUAAUUUGGUCAAACAUCUGUUUGAAACUGUGGUUAUCAGAGUGUUGAUAAGAAUGCCUUGAAAGGUUCAUGACGGUCACAUUCAGUGAUAUGUCUUUCUGUUUAUCAUUACUUUUGAGUGACACAGCUGACUUGAGUUUUGAUCAGACUAGAACCAUAAAGCUGUUAGUAGUAAAGUUAAACCAAGGAAUAACUUAUCGUAAGUCACUCUCUAACACGGGGCAGUUUUUCAAUUAUUUAUUAAUUAUUAUUCAAUUAAUUUUCAAUGUUAUUUAUUUCACAACUUUAACGUUCUUUAUUUUUUUCCCCGUUUCUUUACAUAUGCACAUGUGAAUGUCUGUUUUAAUUCACUGCCUGUGAAUGCCUUUAAAAAACGCUUCAGGCGCCGCUCCAAGCUGGCAGCCAGUAUCAGCAGCUCCAGCCUGACAGAGUCCUUUUUUCCCUUUAAUAUUUGUUUCUUUAUUGUUCUUGUGAAUCUUGUUUUUGUUUUUCUAUUGUGGAUGGUGGACUGAGCUCCCACUUAGGACGGUGGACUGAGCUCCCACUUAGGACGGUGGACUGAGCUUUUCUAUUGUGGACUGAUCUCCUACAAUGGAGCUCAGAAUUUUAUGGACAAUCGUUUUUCUUAUUGCAUUUUUUACGGCAUCUGUGUCCGGAGAGCGCGUGGAGAUCCAACCUUGCAUUCUUUACAGCAGGGAUCUGUUGUUAGCCAGCAGCUGUUAGCCCUCGGCGCUUCCACUGUUCUGCCUACCACCGAGCAAGCCAACAUCCCCCAUGAGGUGAGAAGGGAGAGACGCAGUACUUGGGCCGGGAUCAGGCAUCGCAGCAAGGUUAGGAGGUACCGGCCUGCAAUUCCAUCUGUUAUUAUGGGGAACGUGAGAUCUCUCCCCGACAAAGUGGAUGAAUUGGCAGCUAUGACCCAACAUUAGCUGCACACUGUAACCAGCAUACUCCAAACACAGCACCCUCUGGCCCUUUUCAUGAACUCUGGCAAUUUUAAUCACAUCUCCCUGUCCUCCCUGACAUCACAUCUGAUGAAGACCAUCGGGAGGUUGGUUCUAAACCAUCUGCGCCCCUUGGUGAGGUCUUUAUUGGAUCCACUGCAGUUUGCUUACCAGCCUGGCUUUGGGGUGGAGGAUGACAUCAUCUACCUCCUGCAUCGAGCUCUGACUCACCUUGACAAGCCUGGAUGCACUGUGAGGAUCAUGUUCUUUGAUUUCUCCAGUGCUUUCAAAAACAUCCACCCACGACUUCUGAGGGACAAGCUGGAGCUAUCAGGAGUGGACCACCACAUGUCCCAGUGGAUACUGGACUACCUCACAGAACGUCCACAGUAUGUGAGGUCACAGGGCUGUGUCUCUGAUACACUGGUCUACAGUACGGCGGCCUCACAGGGAACUGUGCUGGAUCUGUUCCUCUUCACCUCCUAGACUGCAGACUUUUUCCAUCACCUCCCCACGCUGCCACCUACAGAAGUUCUCUGACAACUCUGCCAUAGUCAUCAUCACCACAGGUCUGUACUGAGAGUACAGACAACUUAUUGGGAGUUACAUGUCUACUUUUUAAUGCACAAGUACGAUACACAAUCUGCAGUUUUCUAAUUACUCUAAAUAUUCCUAACUAUUUAAACAUUUUUCAGUAUCCUGCUCUAUUUGCACCCGAUCUUUAGUCAAAUUUCAACAACUGCACUGUACUCUGCUUUGUUAACUAUUGUCCAUGAUGUAAAUAUGUAACAAUUGUGUUUCUGUUCUUUGUCCUGUUCUUUUUUUGUAUAUGUGUGUUUUUUUGUGCUGCUGAUACAACCACAUUUCCCCUUGUGGGAUAAUUAAAUGAUUAUUCUAAUCUAUUCUAUUCUAAUUGAUA